UACGAAGGGGGCAAGCGUUGUUCGGAAUUACUGGGCGUAAAGGGCGCGCAGGCGGCCAGACAAGUCAGAUGUGAAAGCCCCGGGCUCAACCUGGGAAUAGCAUUUGGGACUGUUUGGCUAGAGAUCGGGAGAGGAGAGUGGAAUUCCCAGUGUAGAGGUGAAAUUCGUAGAUAUUAGGAAGAAUACCAGUGGCGAAGGCGACUUUCUGGACUUAUACUGACGCUGAGGAACGAAAGCGUGGGGAGCAAACAGG
rnacentral:rRNA from 1 species